UACGUAGGGUGCAAGCGUUGUCCGGAAUUAUUGGGCGUAAAGAGCUCGUAGGCGGUUUGUCGCGUCGAAUGUGAAAACCCGGGGCUCAACCCCGGGCCUGCAUUCGAUACGGGCAGACUAGAGUUCGGUAGGGGAGUCUGGAAUUCCUGGUGUAGCGGUGAAAUGCGCAGAUAUCAGGAGGAACACCCGUGGCGAAGGCGGCCAUCUGGACCAGCACUGACGCUGAGGCACGAAAGCGUGGGGAGCAAACAGG
rnacentral:rRNA from 1 species